rnacentral:tRNA from 1 species
GCGCCCGUAGCUCAGCUGGAUAGAGCGAUGGACUUCUAAUCCAUGGGUCGCAGGUUCGAAUCCUGCCGGGCGCG